rnacentral:rRNA from 1 species
AAAGCAGGGGAUCUUCGGACCUUGUGCUAUUAGAUGAGCCUGCGUCGGAUUAGUUUGUUGGUAGGGUAAUGGCCUACCAAGACUACGAUCCGUAGCUGGUCUGAGAGGAUGAUCAGCCACACUGGGACUGAGACACGGCCCAGACUCCUACGGGAGGCAGCAGUGGGGAAUAUUGGACAAUGGGCGCAAGCCUGAUCCAGCCAUGCCGCGUGUGUGAAGAAGGCUCUAGGGUUGUAAAGCACUUUCAGUAGGGAGGAAAAGUUAGUAGUUAA